rnacentral:rRNA from 1 species
AUUGAACGCUGGCGGCAUGCCUAACACAUGCAAGUCGAACGAGACCUUCGGGUCUAGUGGCGCACGGGUGCGUAACGCGUGGGAAUCUGCCCUUGGGUGCGGAAUAACAGUUAGAAAUGACUGCUAAUACCGCAUAAUGACUCCGGUCCAAAGAUUUAUCGCCCAAGGAUGAGCCCGCGUCGGAUUAGCUAGUUGGUGAGGUAAGAGCUCACCAAGGCGACGAUCCGUAGCUGGUCUGAGAGGAUGAUCAGCCACACUGGGACUGAGACACGGCCCAGACUCCUACGGGAGGCAGCAGUGGGGAAUAUUGGACAAUGGGCGAAAGCCUGAUCCAGCAAUGCCGCGUGAGUGAUGAAGGCCUUAGGGUUGUAAAGCUCUUUUACCCGGGAUGAUAAUGACAGUACCGGGAGAAUAAGCCCCGGCUAACUCCGUGCCAGCCGCCGCAGUAA